rnacentral:lncRNA from 1 species
GUUAGGGUUGGGGAUGGUUUAGGUACGCCUCUCUCCCGCCUGGGUACUUAUCCAUGGGUCCUCGCCUCCUUUUCAUACGUGCUUGUUUCACGAAGUUGAUCCGGGUUGACCUAUUGGGAGUUUGAGACAGGCAGCUGCCGUGGUUUAAUCUGUUCGGGACACACAUGCCUGACUUGAGGCUCGUGCAUGCCAUAGAACAGAUUGGCAUAUAGCGUCUGUACUUUUGCUAUCACCCGUCUUUUUUGGUGAGUUAUUAAUUUUUCUGACUGGUUGUAGUUUUCUGCUGCCCGUUUAACACAUUAUCCUUUUUUUUAGGGUUCACAUACAACCCAUUAACAGUCGCGUAAGGAGCGUACGCCCUCUCGCGAUGUCAACGUGGGCACAAGGGACUGGGCUGAUUUUCUCGUUUUGUUUUAUGAUUUUUCCUGCUCGUUUUGUCGUCGCAAAAAAACCCUAGCCCAUUCCCGUCCGCAUCCCUGCUGCCGCCGCCGCCGCCCUUCCAAUUCCCUCUGCUCCUGCUGCUUCCCUCCACCUCUCCCUCAUCCACGCCGUCAGGGGCGCCCCUCAAGCCCCACCUCGUCGGUUCCCCACCUGGGCUCCUUCUCCCCCACCCCGGGCGAGCACCGGACAGGCAGAGGGAGUGCCUUGGUCGAGGGACAACGAGGCUCGCCGGCUGGGCGACUUCGAGCGCUGGAGGCUAGACAGGCAGAGGCAGGGGCGGAUCCAUGUGGGGGCAUGGGUGCCGUCGCGCCAUCAAAGGCCUCCACGGCGCCCUCUACCAGGUCACCUCUCUCCAAGAUCUCCUUUUUACCCAUGUUUUUACCACUCUCCAAGCUCGCACUAUUGCUCCGGAAAAUUCCCUUUGGAAUUGGGGAUGAGGCAAAUCGAUUUCGAUUGAUUGGCGCCACGCAGACGACGGGCGUGGGACGGUGCAGGAGGCGUGCCGCGUUUGAGAGCCACUGUGGAUUAUCUUCGAGGUGUCAGGCGACAUUCGCCUCGAGACCUACCUCCGGGUCUCUUCCCACAUGACCAUUGACGGGCGCGGGUAGCGGGUCAGGCUCACCGACAAGGCGCCGGUAGAUUUCUUAAUCUGCUCGUUAUGGUUCUCCAAAUAUUUUCAGAGAAUAAAACUGGCUGAAGAUGGUGCGUGCAGCUUGCCUCUGAACUUGUGAUGUCCGGCCAUUGCAUCUGGGAGGAGCUCCUCUUCAGGAAGAAUGCCGAGACGUACGACACUGCUGCGACUGUCGUUCUCGUCCGCGUUUUGACUACACUUCCAGGUUAGCUCUCUACUUCAGUUGCUCGCAGCUAGCAACUCUGAAUGCACUUCAUCCCGUGUUAAUUAACUUUCAGAAUUGUGCUGCUUUGUUUAUAAAUGAUGCUGGCCAUACUAUAUGUCUUCGUCUGAAGUGAUUCUUCAUUGCCCUUGCAGAGUAGCAUUGAUUUUCUUUAGAAGUACCCUGUGGCCGAGUGUGACAUUUGGUUUAUCAAAUUCUAAUGUGAUUUUCACUUCAAUCAAUUAGCAAUAGGUAACACUUGAUAUUGACACUGUUAUCUGCAGAAUUAUUUUUGUAAGAUACUUAUGUGAUUGCCAACAAGUUUCUGAAGAUGACUGUGCUCGUGAUUAAUUGUUUGCUCAUAAACCAAAUCAUCUAUAUGCACCUGAUCAGGGUUAGAUGAAAUUCAAAGAGUAUAAUUCUUGUGGUUAAUCGUUUUCUCGUAAACAGGCAACUGCGAAGGCAAAAUCUACAUGUGAGAAGUGCAGAUGAGCCCCGCUGUGCUAAUUACCCGGUAAGUUCAACUAAGCAAGUUCAGCUAUUCCCAGUUUCUCCUCUGCAUGUGGUGGUGGUGCUAGCUACUAACUUCUACUAUGUUCCUGCAUGUACACUCUCAUAAUUUCCAGGCUGAGUAGUCCGCAACGCAAAUCUUAUGCUCUCUCAUCUUCCCUUGUAAACUACCUAAACAUUGAUGAUUGUAAACCAGCUGUUGAUUAAUGACUGAAUGUGAUCCAUAAAAAAAAGACAUGACGCCAUCUUAUUUCUUGAAAAUGUACAUGCCUAUCUAGAUUUUUUUAGAACAAAUUUUUUUUACUCGUAUGUCUAGGUUGUGACUUGUGAGUUGUGACUGAGUGUGAGUUGAAUAAUUAUUGUGUAGAAUUUUAGAUUUCUAUAUUUGUUCUUUGACAUAUGAGAGUUACAUUGUGUGAUUAAUUAGGUCAUAGAACAUUGAUUUGAUUUAUCUUCUGCCAGUAAGCAUUGUCCUGUAACAAAUGUUCAGUAAUGGCAUAAUCGGAUCACAUGCUGUAGAUGAAUGCCUAAAGUGUACAUAUGCUUUUUUUUUGACCGAAAGCAAUACUGUCUAGCUUUUUGAGAAAGCUAAAAGUCUGAUUACAAAAACAAGCAAAGAUGAGGCUGGGUGUCGAAAUAGUACAGAUCCUGCAGAAGUUCAAAUUUGUACUAUGAGGGUAUUUGCGUGUAGCAAAGUAGGGUGAUCAUUGCAUGGCAUGCCUUCAGUCCUUGGUAGUCAUCUAAUGUACAUAGUAUCCUUAAAGUUUCUUCAAGUUGAGGAAUGAUCAAACUUAAUAGCAGACAUCCAUUGUGAUAAGCUAUUAUUAUAUUUCAUUUAUUUGCCGGCUUAAUACAGCUACACUGUUGAUCUUUACUCCGAUUUAUCUUGUAGUAACUCCUAACACUCACUUCCUAACGCUCACUUAUUUGCCGGCUUGAUACAGCUACACUGUUGAUCUUUACUCCCAUUAAAAAGUCAAUUGGUGACGGCAGUCUGUCCACUUUCGUUACAACACAUGUUAUAUUUGGCACAAAUAUUAAGAUGAGAGCGGAUAUGGAUAUUUUGAUUUUGCAUAAACUGCGGAAAGAUCUUACAACACAGUUUUAAAAUUCCAUUUUAAUGAAUGAGUAUUGUGCUUGUAUGGGUGGCAUCAUACUGUAUUUCACAGUGCUGAAAAUCAAAUGCACAUUGUUUUCACAUAAUCACAUUGUAUUCAAACAAUCUGUGUGAUGUCUCAUUGUCAUCCUUUGCAGUAUUCUGAAUUGGCUGCUGAAGUACAUAAGUGAAGUCUAUUGGUGAAGGAGAUGUGAAGAAUGAUAUAGAGCAAGUAGAUAAAAACCGCAGUUGUUGGCCCAAGGUAGGCUCCUUCACUCAGAGUAUAUGUUGGGACGGUUUCUUGUUCGACAUCAAUUUCUGGUUGGAGAUUGAACUGUAUUCCAGUUUGAUUAUGUGAUUACAUCAAAUUUGUGCAUAUUAACUGAAAUGUGUAAUGCUACAAAGUAGAUAGGUUUUCCUAGCAUUUUACCACGGGGCGUCUCUUUUGUUUGUUUUCUGCCCCUUGUCUUGUACAUUCUCCAUUUAAUGACAUAUGGAUGGCUAACCAACCAUUUUUGUUUGUUUAUAACAGUUUUACAUGAGUAUUCCUACAUAUAGGAUAAUACCCUUCUGGUGCUAAUCAAGGAUUUGAUAUUCCGUUAGCUUUGGUUAACCUGCCUGAGUUAGUGCCUACACGAGGAGCUGAACAAAAAUGCAAUGGGGGGAGCCCAUCUUAGAAUUGUUUUCCCUUUUCUCGCAAUAGCUUUCAUUUUGCAGUAUAUUAGCUAAUUCUGCGCAGGAUGAUUACAUAUGCAACAUUUGUAAAGGAGUAGACUUGUUAAAAGUUUCAACUAAUAUUAUAUGAUGCCUGCUGGAUUAUUUUCUUGUCAAACUGAAAUUUAAAUGUCCCAAUACUAUGUUCUAUUCCAAUUUCAAACUAAUUUCCUUGUUGUGGGUUGCAUACACGAACUGUAAUGCAUUUCAUUUGUGUUAAAUAAUACGAGUACGAAUAAACACUUGCUAAUGGAGCAAACCAGCCAAGUGAAUGCUUCUUGUUAUAACCAGUUCAUCCAAUGGAGCGUGCAUACCGGUUACAUGCAUAUCCAUGUUCCAUACACAAUGCAAAGCAAGACUGCAAACACACUAACAAAUCCGACAGAAAGAUAAGUGCGCUCAAUCACGCAGAGGAGGCGCGCCCAGGGCACGCCCCAACCACUAGUUAUCCAUUGUUGAUGUGUGCUUUAGGGUGUGAUCCGGGUUGCCUCCAGCCGGCAACACUUCCAAGUAUCGGCACCACUUGUUGAUCAAAGACGCUGGCCAUCCUCUGAAUACUGACUUAGAUUACGUGCAACAUCUUGGUGGAGACACCCCUUUGAAAAGAGAUGCUAACCUGGCCUUACAAGAUUUACAUUAUCGCCCAAAUCAAGUCAGGGCUUUUCUGGAAUUCUUGAUUUUAGGGGCGGCACCUACAAGCCGUACCUGACGUGAAAUCAACAUGAGCUCCAAAGUACGUGCUUUCUGAAUCUCUCUUAAAUGUUUUUUUAAUCACAGCAAAGGAUAAAAGAUAGGGCCUGUUCUGAUCUCCUUCCACUCCACGCUUCACAAAUUCCUAAAGCAGAUACGAGCCGAACGAAAUAGCAGCGAGAAGCUAGGAUCGACCGCAGUGCAAAACCGUGAAGCAGACUCGGCCCAGCUCCAUCGAUCCGGAAAGCUGAAGUUGGCAGAUAUUACAAGUGAACUGCCACCGCCAAGUCAUACGAGCCGAACCGGUACGCUCGAUCUGUUUGAUCGCUCCUUAUUCCUUCGCUCGUGCUCCCUCGCUGCUCCUCUACAAGGCCGAUUUGGGCUGCCUCCAGUCGGCCCAACUAGCCCGAACAGGCCACAGCCCUCCAGCUGGGCUGUAGUGCCGCGAGAAGCUGCAAACCGAGGCGAACAGAUUUUUCAUCGCUGCAUGGAGUGAGAAGCUACUCUGAGAAGCUGAAUUUGUGAAGUUUUGGGAAGCUAGAGGAGAUCAGAACAGGCCCAUAGUGUGCUCUUUCUGCAGAACAUUCUAUUGUAUACGUGUCGGGAAAAUGCUUCUUGCACAACAAGGGAAAUAAAUAUUCCCCACAAAAAAACAAGGAAAUAAAUUUGACAAUGAC